rnacentral:lncRNA from 10 species
AGUCGCAUUGACGUAAGAAGAGUUGUAUUUUUAUAGAAAGAAAAUAUUUUGCCUAAUCGCCUUCAAAGGAGCCUUGUACACAAUCUCUAGAGGAGAGUGUGCACAGAGGAGAGAUCAUGUGAGGACACAGCGAGAAGACAAUCAUCUGUAAGCCAAGGAGAGAGGCCUCAGAAAAAAAUCCACCCUGCUAAGAGCUUGAUCUUGGACUU